rnacentral:tRNA from 1 species
AGCAGCAUGGCCUAGUGGAAAGAGCAUAGGCCUGGGGGUCAGAGGACCUGGGUUCUAAUCCCAGCUCUGCUA